rnacentral:rRNA from 1 species
ACACCGGCAGCCCAAGUGGUGGCCAUUUUUAUUGGGCCUAAAGCGUUCGUAGCCGGCCUGAUAAGUCUCUGGUGAAAUCCCGCAGCUUAACUGUGGGAAUUGCUGGAGAUACUAUCAGGCUUGAGGUCGGGAGAGGUUAGAGGUACUCCCAGGGUAGGGGUGAAAUCCUGUAAUCCUGGGAGGACCACCUGUGGCGAAGGCGUCCAGCUGGAACGAACCUGACGGUGAGGGACGAAAGCCAGGGGCGCGAACCGGAUUAGAUACCCGGGUAGUCCUGGCCGUAAACGAUGUGGACUUGGUGUUGGGAUGGCUUCGAGCUGCCCCAGUGCCGAAGGGAAGCUGUUAAGUCCACCGCCUGGGAAGUACGGCCGCAAGGCUGAAACUUAAAGGAAUUGGCGGGG